rfam:Hydrogenobacter thermophilus TK-6 DNA, complete genome.
GGAGAGGUGGCCGAGAGGCCGAAGGCGGCUCCCUGCUAAGGAGUUGUAGGGCUAAAUACCCUACCGCGGGUUCGAAUCCCGCCCUCUCCG